UGUAAGCGUAUACCAAAGUUGUUGCAGUUAAAACGCUCGUAGUCGGAAUUUGGCAGUUCCGGAUGUGUGCACGUCGUGUGCGCACUUCGCGGGGAUUGCUUUUGUGGUCUUGCGUAGGAUGAGGCACUUUUAUUAGUGAACGUCCUCACGCAACCACUUUUUACUGUGAGAAAAUCAGAGUGCUCAUAGCAGGCAUUUGCCGUGAAUGUAUUAGCAUGGAAUAAUAGAAUAGGACUUGGUUCUAUUUUGUUGGUUUGUUGGGACUGAGUAAUGAUUAAGAGGGACAGUUGGGGGCAUUUGUAUUUCGGUGCUAGAGGUGAAAUUCUUAGAUUACCGAAAGACAAACUGCUGCGAAAGCGUCUGCCAAGGAUGUUUUCAUUGA
rnacentral:rRNA from 1 species